rnacentral:rRNA from 1 species
AGGACGAACGCUUGCGACGUGCCUAAGAAAUGCAAGUCGAACGGGGUCAUCCUUCGGGGUGGCCUAGUGGCGAACGGUCGCGUAACACGUGGGCAACCUGCCCUGAAGCGGGGGACAACACACCGAAAGGUGUGCUAAUACCGCAUGUGAAUCGUGGUGGCAUCACCGAGGAUUCAAAGCCGCAAGGCACUUCAGGAUGGGCCCGCGGCCUAUCAGCUAGUUGGUGAGGUAACGGCCCACCAAGGCUUCGACGGGUAGCUGGUCUGAGAGGACGAUCAGCCGGAUUGGGACUGAGAUACGGCCCAGACUCCUACGGGGGGCAGCAAUUAGGAAUCUUGCGCAAUGGGCGAAAGCCUGACGCAGCGACGUCGCGUGAAGGAUGAAAUCUUUCGGGAUGUAAACUUCUUUUUUCGGGGAAGAACAAUGACGGUACCCGAAGAAUAAGCCCCGGCUAACUACGCGCCAGCAGCCGC